rnacentral:rRNA from 1 species
GGGUUGUGAGGUUAAGCGACUAAGCGUACACGGUGGAUGCCCUGGCAGUCAGAGGCGAUGAAGGACGUGCUAAUCUGCGAAAAGCGUCGGUAAGGUGAUAUGAACCGUUACAGCCGGCGAUGUCCGAAUGGGGAAACCCAGUGCAAUUCGUUGCACUAUCGUUAACUGAAUACAUAGGUUAACGAGGCGAACCGGGGGAACUGAAACAUCUAAGUACCCCGAGGAAAAGAAAUCAACCGAGAUUCCCCCAGUAGCGGCGAGCGAACGGGGAGCAGCCCAGAGUCUGAAUCAGCUUGUGUGUUAGUGGAACGGUCUGGAAAGUCCGACGGUACAGGGUGAUAGUCCCGUACACCAAAAUGCACAGGUUGUGAACUCGAAGAGUAGGGCGGGACACGUGGUAUCCUGUCUGAAUAUGGGGGACCAUCCUCCAAGGCUAAAUACUCCUGACUGACCGAUAGUGAACCAGUACCGUGAGGGAAAGGCGAAAAGAACCCCGGCGAGGGGAGUGAAAAAGAACCUGAAACCGUGUACGUACAAGCAGUGGGAGCACCUUCGGGUGUGACUGCGUACCUUUUGUAUAAUGGGUCAGCGACUUAUAUUCUGUAGCAAGGUUAACCGUAUAGGGGAGCCGCAGGGAAACCGAGUCUUAACUGGGCGUUAAGUUGCAGGGUAUAGACCCGAAACCCGGUGAUCUAGCCAUGGGCAGGUUGAAGGUUGGGUAACACUAACUGGAGGACCGAACCGACUAAUGUUGAAAAAUUAGCGGAUGACUUGUGGCUGGGGGUGAAAGGCCAAUCAAACCGGGAGAUAGCUGGUUCUCCCCGAAAGCUAUUUAGGUAGCGCCUCGUGAAUUCAUCUUCGGGGGUAGAGCACUGUUUCGGCUAGGGGGUCAUCCCGACUUACCAACCCGAUGCAAACUACGAAUACCGAAGAAUGUUAUCACGGGAGACACACGGCGGGUGCUAACGUCCGUCGUGAAGAGGGAAACAACCCAGACCGCCAGCUAAGGUCCCAAAGUCACAGUUAAGUGGGAAACGAUGUGGGAAGGCACAGACAGCCAGGAUGUUGGCUUAGAAGCAGCCAUCAUUUAAAGAAAGCGUAAUAGCUCACUGGUCGAGUCGGCCUGCGCGGAAGAUGUAACGGGGCUAAACUGUGCACCGAAGCUGCGGCAGCGACACUUAGGUGUUGUUGGGUAGGGGAGCGUUCUGUAAGCCUGCGAAGGUGGCCUGUGAGGGUUGCUGGAGGUAUCAGAAGUGCGAAUGCUGACAUAAGUAACGAUAAUGCGGGUGAAAAGCCCGCACGCCGGAAGACCAAGGGUUCCUGUCCAACGUUAAUCGGGGCAGGGUGAGUCGACCCCUAAGGCGAGGCCGAAAGGCGUAGUCGAUGGGAAACAGGUUAAUAUUCCUGUACUUGGUGUUACUGCGAAGGGGGGACGGAGAAGGCUAUGUUAGCCGGGCGACGGUUGUCCCGGUUUAAGCAUGUAGGCGGAGGUUCCAGGUAAAUCCGGUACCUUUUAACGCUGAGGUGUGAUGACGAGGCACUACGGUGCUGAAGUAACAAAUGCCCUGCUUCCAGGAAAAGCCUCUAAGCAUCAGGUAACAUUGAAUCGUACCCCAAACCGACACAGGUGGUCAGGUAGAGAAUACCAAGGCGCUUGAGAGAACUCGGGUGAAGGAACUAGGCAAAAUGGUGCCGUAACUUCGGGAGAAGGCACGCUGAUAUGUAGGUGAAGCCCCUGCGGGUGGAGCUGAAAUCAGUCGAAGAUACCAGCUGGCUGCAACUGUUUAUUAAAAACACAGCACUGUGCAAACACGAAAGUGGACGUAUACGGUGUGACGCCUGCCCGGUGCCGGAAGGUUAAUUGAUGGGGUUAUCCGUAAGGAGAAGCUCUUGAUCGAAGCCCCGGUAAACGGCGGCCGUAACUAUAACGGUCCUAAGGUAGCGAAAUUCCUUGUCGGGUAAGUUCCGACCUGCACGAAUGGCGUAAUGAUGGCCAGGCUGUCUCCACCCGAGACUCAGUGAAAUUGAACUCGCUGUGAAGAUGCAGUGUACCCGCGGCAAGACGGAAAGACCCCGUGAACCUUUACUAUAGCUUGACACUGAACAUUGAGCCUUGAUGUGUAGGAUAGGUGGGAGGCUUUGAAGCGUGGACGCCAGUCUGCGUGGAGCCAACCUUGAAAUACCACCCUUUAAUGUUUGAUGUUCUAACGUUGGCCCCUGACCGGGGUUGCGGACAGUGUCUGGUGGGUAGUUUGACUGGGGCGGUCUCCUCCCAAAGAGUAACGGAGGAGCACGAAGGUUAGCUAAUCCUGGUCGGACAUCAGGAGGUUAGUGCAAUGGCAUAAGCUAGCUUGACUGCGAGCGUGACGGCGCGAGCAGGUGCGAAAGCAGGUCAUAGUGAUCCGGUGGUUCUGAAUGGAAGGGCCAUCGCUCAACGGAUAAAAGGUACUCCGGGGAUAACAGGCUGAUACCGCCCAAGAGUUCAUAUCGACGGCGGUGUUUGGCACCUCGAUGUCGGCUCAUCACAUCCUGGGGCUGAAGUAGGUCCCAAGGGUAUGGCUGUUCGCCAUUUAAAGUGGUACGCGAGCUGGGUUUAGAACGUCGUGAGACAGUUCGGUCCCUAUCUGCCGUGGGCGCUGGAGAAUUGAGGGGGGCUGCUCCUAGUACGAGAGGACCGGAGUGGACGCAUCACUGGUGUUCGGGUUGUCAUGCCAAUGGCAUUGCCCGGUAGCUAAAUGCGGAAGAGAUAAGUGCUGAAAGCAUCUAAGCACGAAACUUGCCCCGAGAUGAGUUCUCCCUGAGACUUUAAGUCUCCUGAAGGAACGUUAAAGACGAUGACGUUGAUAGGUCGGGUGUGUAAGCGUAGCGAUACGUUGAGCUAACCGAUACUAAUGAACCGUGAGGCUUAACCUUACAACGCCGAAGGUGUUU